rnacentral:rRNA from 1 species
AAAUUGAAGAGUUUGAUCAUGGCUCAGAUUGAACGCUGGCGGCAGGCCUAACACAUGCAAGUCGAACGGUAACAGGAAGCAGCUUGCUGCUUUGCUGACGAGUGGCGGACGGGUGAGUAAUGUCUGGGAAACUGCCUGAUGGAGGGGGAUAACUACUGGAAACGGUGGCUAAUACCGCAUAACGUCGCAAGACCAAAGAGGGGGACCUUCGGGCCUCUUGCCAUCAGAUGUGCCCAGAUGGGAUUAGCUUGUUGGUGAGGUAACGGCUCACCAAGGCGACGAUCCCUAGCUGGUCUGAGAGGAUGACCAGCCACACUGGAACUGAGACACGGUCCAGACUCCUACGGGAGGCAGCAGUGGGGAAUAUUGCACAAUGGGCGCAAGCCUGAUGCAGCCAUGCCGCGUGUAUGAAGAAGGCCUUCGGGUUGUAAAGUACUUUCAGCGGGGAGGAAGGUGUUGUGGUUAAUAACCGCAGCAAUUGACGUUACCCGCAGAAGAAGCACCGGCUAACUCCGUGCCAGCAGCCGCGGUAAUACGGAGGGUGCAAGCGUUAAUCGGAAUUACUGGGCGUAAAGCGCACGCAGGCGGUCUGUCAAGUCGGAUGUGAAAUCCCCGGGCUCAACCUGGGAACUGCAUUCGAAACUGGCAGGCUUGAGUCUUGUAGAGGGGGGUAGAAUUCCAGGUGUAGCGGUGAAAUGCGUAGAGAUCUGGAGGAAUAGCGGUGGCGAAGGCGGCCCCCUGGACAAAGACUGACGCUCAGGUGCGAAAGCGUGGGGAGCAAACAGGAUUAGAUACCCUGGUAGUCCACGCCGUAAACGAUGUCUACUUGGAGGUUGUGCCCUUGAGGCGUGGCUUCCGGAGCUAACGCGUUAAGUAGACCGCCUGGGGAGUACGGCCGCAAGGUUAAAACUCAAAUGAAUUGACGGGGGCCCGCACAAGCGGUGGAGCAUGUGGUUUAAUUCGAUGCAACGCGAAGAACCUUACCUGGUCUUGACAUCCACAGAACUUUCCAGAGAUGGACUGGUGCCUUCGGGAAC